rnacentral:rRNA from 1 species
UACGUAGGCAGCGAGCGUUGUUCGGAAUUACUGGGCGUAAAGAGUGUGUAGGCGGUGCUUUAAGUUCGGUGUGAAAUCUCCCGGCUUAACUGGGAGGGUGCGCCGGAAACUGGAGUGCUCGAGCGUGGGAGAGGAAAGCGGAAUUCCUGGUGUAGCGGUGAAAUGCGUAGAUAUCAGGAGGAACACCUGCGGUGUAGACGGCUUUCUGGACCAUUGCUGACGCUGAGACACGAAAGCGUAGGUAGCAAACAGG